rnacentral:rRNA from 1 species
CCUCAAAUCAGGUAGGACUACCCGCUGAACUUAAGCAUAUCAAUAAGCGGAGGAAAAGAAACUAACAAGGAUUCCCCUAGUAACUGCGAGUGAAGCGGGAAAAGCUCAAAUUUAAAAUCUGGUGGUCUUUGGCCAUCCGAGUUGUAAUCUAGAGAAGUGUUACCCGCGUCGGACCGUGUACAAGUCUCCUGGAAUGGAGCGUCAUAGAGGGUGAGAAUCCCGUCUUUGACACGGACUACCGAGGCUUUGUGGUGCGCUCUCAAAGAGUCGAGUUGUUUGGGAAUGCAGCUCAAAAUGGGUGGUAAAUUCCAUCUAAAGCUAAAUAUUGGCGAGAGACCGAUAGCGAACAAGUACCGUGAGGGAAAGAUGAAAAGAACUUUGGAAAGAGAGUUAAACAGUACGUGAAAUUGCUGAAAGGGAAACGCUUGAAGUCAGUCGCGUUAGCCGGGAAUCAGCCUUGCUUCUGCUGGGUGUAUUUUCAGGUUGACGGGCCAGCAUCAGUUUUGACCGGUGGAAAAAGUCUAGAGGAAUGUGGCAUCUUCGGAUGUGUUAUAGCCUCUGGUCGUAUACAUCGAUUGGGACUGAGGAACUCAGCACUUGUGCUUAGGAUGCUGGCAUAAU